rnacentral:rRNA from 1 species
GUUUGAUCAUGGCUCAGGGUGAAUGCUGGCGGCGUGGAUAAGGCAUGCAAGUCGAGUGGGUUUAGACCCACGGCAGACGAGGUAGUAACACGUAGGAACGUACCCCGAAGUCAGGAAUAUUCCGUCGAAAGACGGCGCAAUACCUGAUGGUCUCUAAGGAGUAAAGAUUUAUCGCUUCGGGAGCGGCCUGCGCAGUAUCAGCUAGUUGGUAGGGUAACGGCCUACCUAGGCAAUGACGCUUAGGGGAGCUGAGAGGCUGACCCCCACCGAUGGAACUGAGAUACGGUCCUUACUCCUACGGGAGGCCGCAGUCGAGAAUCUUCCGCAAUGGACGCAAGUCUGACGGAGCGACGCCGCGUGGUGGAUGAAGUCCCUCUGGGACGUAAACACCUUUUAUGAGGGAUGACAUUUCGACAGUACCUCAUGAAUAAGGGGCUCCUAACUCUGUGCCAGCAGGAGCGGUAAUACAGAGGCCCCAAGCAUUACCCGGAAUCACUGGGCGUAAAGGGUGCGUAGGUGGCGUGAUUAGUCCUACUUUAAAUCUUCCGUGCUCAACGCGGAAGCUCGGUGGGAAACGGUCAUGCUUGAGGAUGUAAGAGGUGUGUGGAACUCACGGUGUAGGGGUGAAAUCCGUUGAUAUCGUGGGGAACACCGAAUGCGAAGGCAGCACACUGGGACAUUCCUGACACUGAGGCACGAAAGCGUGGGAAGCGAAAAGGAUUAGAUACCCUGGUAGUCCACGCCCUAAACGAUGGGUACUAGACGUCGGGAAGUUUAUCUUCUUGGUGUCGCAGCUAACGCAAUAAGUACCCCGCCUGGGGAGUACGGUCGCAAGAUUAAAACUCAAAUGAAUUGACGGAAG